AAUCAACGCUGGCGGCGUGCCUCAGACAUGCAAGUCGAACGCGAAAGUUCCCUUCGGGGAGCGAGUAGAGUGGCGCACGGGUGAGUAACACGUAGGUAAUCUACCCUCGAGUGGGGAAUAACUCAGGGAAACUUGAGCUAAUACCGCAUAAUGCAGCGGCACCACAUGGUGACAGUUGUUAAAGCAUUUAUGCGCUUGGGGAGGAGCCUGCGGCAGAUUAGCUAGUUGGUAAGGUAAUGGCUUACCAAGGCAACGAUCUGUAACCGGCCUGAGAGGGCGGACGGUCACACUGACACUGAAUAACGGGUCAGACUCCUACGGGAGGCAGCAGUCGGGAAUUUUGGGCAAUGGGCGAAAGCCUGACCCAGCAACGCCGCGUGAAGGAUGAAAUCUUUCGGGAUGUAAACUUACGGAAGAAUAAGG
rnacentral:rRNA from 1 species